rnacentral:lncRNA from 1 species
UUUAUUUUUAUUUUAUUAAUCUUCCAGAUAUUUAUUUAAAUUCUAGUCAAUUAACAUAUAGUGUAAUGCUAGUUUCAGGAAUAGAAUUUAGUGAUUCAUCACUUAAUAUAACAUCAGUGCUCAUCACAUCAAGUAUCUUCCUUAAUCCCAUUACCCAGUUAGUGCAUCCCCGACCCACCUCACCCCUAGCUACUCUCAGUUUGUUCUCUAUUGUUAGAGGACUCUUUCAUUCUUUGCCUCCCUUUUAUUCUUCUGUCCAUUAUGUUUAUCUAUUUUGUUUCUUAAAUUCUCUAGAUGAGUGAAGUUACAUAGUAUUUGUCUUCCUCUGAUUUAUUUUGCUUAGCAUAAUACACUCUAGCUCCAUCCAUAUCAUUGUAAAUAGCAAGAUUUCAUUCUUUUUGAUGGCUAAUAUUCCAUUGUAUACAUCUUCUUUAUCCAUUCAUCAGUCAAUGGACAUUUGGGCUCUUUUCAUAAUUUGGCUAUUGUUGAUAAUGCUACUAUAAACAUCAGGGUGCAUGUGCCCCUUAGAAACAGUAUUUUUUAACUUAUGGAUAAUUAUCUAGUAGUACAAUUGCUGGGUGGUAGGGUAGUUCUAUCUAUGAUUUUUUUAGGAACCUCCACAAUGUUUUUCACAGUAGUUGUACCUUUUGCAUUCCCACCAACAGUGUAAUAGGGUUCCCUUUUACACUACAGGAAAUUUUAAAAGCUAAACAGGGGUAAAAGUACAGAGUGUAAGUCAAGGAGAAAAUUAUCUAAGAGUCCUAUUGCCCUAUAAGGGCAAGAGUCCUUAUAGGGCAAUUUCAUCAUUUCCCCCUGCACUAUAGAACUGUUACAGCAUGUAAACCCCACUUGAAUCCAUUUUUCUUUCUUUCUUCAUUAACUUACCAGCAGCUGAAAAACUAUCUUCACUUUCUACACUGUACUGAAGUAUAUGUCUAUAUAUACUACUAUGUAUACAUUAACCAUCAGAAAUUGUCUUAAACUGACAGAAUAAAUUCUAAACACUAAUAUAAAGUAUGGAUUUAAAUACUAAUUUUCACUCAAAAUGUACAUCACAUGCUCUUUAUGGAUCAAGAAUAUAUCUUUCAUAUGUUGUGAUCUGUAUUUUAAAUAGAAUUUUUUUUUUAAGUUUUGCCUAUACUACAAUAUUCCUGAUAAAAGAGACUAGAUGAUUUUAUUCACGGGACUUAGAAUAUUAUAGGAAACUUAUCAGGAGAAAAUGUUUUUGAAAAUAAUGUAAUAAAACACAGGGAUAUAUACAUAAAGUAGGGCAUUUGAAUUGCAUUAAAAGACACAUAUGGAAACUCACUAGUCUAGAAGCUAUAAUUUUAAAGGAUAGUAUGAAAUCUGGAAAACUGAAGAAGGUGAAGACAAGAGCUUGGUUGUUUGGACAAUUGCUGUAAACUUCCCAAAAUGUUCUUAGGUAGCAUUACCACCAAAUUUUCUUUGUAUAUCACUAUAAAUCUUAUCUUCUACCAUUGCUCAGAAAAAUAUAGAAGAUAUCUAAACACACAGCAUAGAUUUCUAACUUCAAAAAUAAUACACUAUGUGUGCAUUCAUACUGAUCCACCUAUUAUGAGAAUAAAUUCAAAUUGACAGAUAUUGAUGGAGUUUCUUGCCCUUAUGUGCAAGGAAGAGGGCAAGUCCUCAGGUUCUGUGGAUCUGUGUGGCACUAGCCACAGUCUAAUGGUCCAGUGGAAUGAUCCCAGGCAUUCAGUCUGGCACUAUCGUCAAAGCUGUAUACCAAGGCUUAUCAGUGAAAUAAUUACAUCACAAGGAAAGAAUUUUAAAAAUACAUGCUGAAUUUAGUACAUUACACUUUUCCUAAAGCAGCAGUCAAGAAAUAGUUUUAACUAAAUGCAUAUUAUUAAGUCAAUCAAACUUGAGCAUAAAUACUUAUUAGAUUCAUAUUUUGUACCAUUUCAAUUUGGCUUCAUACUGCAACAAAAAUAUUUGCUCUUAAUUUAUUCCCUUCAAGGAAUGUGAAAAUCUCCAACUGAAUUGAUGAGGCAAACAUCAAUUUGAAUUUAGAGUCUGGGGAAAUUAUGUGUCCCCGUUAUGCUAGGACUAAGACAAUGAAGAAGAAACAGGGGCAUUUCUUAGAAGAUCAGAUUUAGAUCUAUAAAUUUAGAUAAAUAUUGUUCAGCUAGGUGAUUCACUUCUGAAAGCCAUUUCAAAUGCCUUCUUCUUACUAGAUACCUUAUCUCUGUUAUAAGAAUGCGUAUGUGGGGCACCUGGGUUGGGAAUCCAAUUGUUGGUUUCAGCUCCAGUCUUGAUCUCAUGGGUUGUGAAAUCAAGCCCCAAGUCAAGCUCCAAGCUCAAUGGGGAGUUGGUUUGAAGAUUCUUUCCCUCUGCCCCUCCCCCUACUCUCCCAAAAAUUGAUAAUUUUUUUUUAAAAAAAGUGCAUAUGUAUGAAAAGUCAUCAUCAGAUGUUCAUAGCUUUCAUUAUAAACUUAAAACAAUUUUCUGCAUAAUAAGGUAAUAAACUGCUAAAUAGAAAGGAUGAAGUCCAUGGAAUCUUUCAAGCUUAGGAAUCCUGGUUUGCUGCUUAUAGUUUCUAUUUUGCUUCCUUGCUUUUGCUCUUAUUUUAAUUUGUUUUAUCAUUAUUAGUAAUAAAAACCAAUGUAUAAUAUUUCACAAUAUCUAAAGAGAUACUUGAAGCAGUGCUCUGCCAGAAGAACAAGGAAAAAAACUUAGAAAUGUUCAAGUGAAUUCAUUUUAUAAAUUACUGUGAUAGCAACUCAUGUAGCUGAGCUCUGUCUUUGCAUCAUUCCAGUAAUAUA